CAGUAGGGAAUCUUCCACAAUGGACGAAAGUCUGAUGGAGCAACGCCGCGUGAGUGAAGAAGGGUUUCGGCUCGUAAAACUCUGUUGCUAAAGAAGAACAUAUCUGAGAGUAACUGUUCAGGUAUUGACGGUAUUUAACCAGAAAGCCACGGCUAACUACGUGCCAG
rnacentral:rRNA from 1 species